GACAAAGGACUCUAUUCUUUCAGUUGCUGUAGCUUUUUUGUUUUGACAUGACAUUCUGAUUCUUCAGCAAAUAUUAAUGGACACAAAAGGAGAAAAAGAGAAAAAUCUACUGAAAUUACAUAAAGAACAAUGAGGGCUGCAGAAGAAAUUUAUAAAACAGCCACAAUUUUCUGAACAUGAGAGAGAAAAUACCACAUUCAUCAGUUAAAUAGAAACUAUUUAAGAUGGCGACAUGGGUAAACACGGCUCACCUCCUCACACAAC